rnacentral:rRNA from 1 species
ACUCAAAGGAAUAGACGGGGACCCGCACAAGCAGCGGAGCAUGUGGUUUAAUUCGAAGAUACGCGAAAAACCUUACCAGGACUUGACAUCCUUUGCAUAGCCAUGAAAGUGGUGAAUUAAGGAGCAAUUCUUACAAAGUGACAGAUGGUGCAUGGUUGUCGUCAGCUCGUGUCGUGAGAUGUUCGGUUAAGUCCGUCAACGAGCGCAACCCCUGCUUUCAGUUGCCACCAUUAAGUUGGGCACUCUGGAGGGACUGCCGUAGUUAAUACGGAGGAAGGUGGGGAUGACGUCAAAUCAUCAUGCCUCUUACGUUCUGGGCUACACACGUGCUACAAUGGUGACCACAAACAGUUGCAAAAUAGUAAUAUCGAGCCAAUCUGAAAAAAGUCAUCUCAAUUCGGAUUGUGGGCUGAAACUCGCCCACAUGAAGUCGGAGUUGCUAGUAAUCGUGAAUCAGCACGUCACGGUGAAUGCGUUCCCGGGUCUUGUACACACCGCCCGU